rnacentral:rRNA from 1 species
GAUGAACGCUGGCGGUCUGCUUAACACAUGCAAGUCGAACGGGCUCUUUCGGGAGCUAGUGGCGGACGGGUGCGUAACGCGUGAGAAUCUGCCCUUUGGAGGGGGAUAACGGUUGGAAACGACCGCUAAUACCCCAUGUGCCGAGAGGUAAAAAGUAAUUCGCCAAGGGAUGAGCUCGCGUCGGAUUAGCUAGUUGGUGGGGUAAGAGCCCACCAAGGCGACGAUCCGUAGCUGGUCUGAGAGGAUGACCAGCCACACUGGGACUGAGACACGGCCCAGACUCCUACGGGAGGCAGCAGUGGGGAAUUUUCCGCAAUGGGCGCAAGCCUGACGGAGCAAGACCGCGUGAGGGAAGACGGUCUGUGGAUUGUAAACCUCUUUUGACAGGGAAGAAGUACUGACGGUACCUGUCGAAUCAGCCUCGGCUAACUCCGUGC